CUCAUGACCUCAUUUUUUCGUAAGAUAAACAUUGAGGUCAAAAGGCAUACGCGUGUUUAUUGACUUUUAACACGAGAAUUUGGCAGAAUUUAUGGAAUAAAACAAAGGUGAAAUGGUGAUCAUUCAAUGUACAAUGGAAGGAGUGGUGGGUCCACUGUCCAAAAGUCAUCCCAUGGUGGACACAAUAUCCUGCAGCUUAUUGAAGACCCAGCCAAGUCCGUGACCCAGCCAAUACGAUGGAGUUCUUUAAGAAAUUGUUGAAGCCAAUACCAGGACUGACCAAGUACCACCAUUUUUGGAUCACGAGUAGACAUCCAGGGAUAGAGUUUGUGCGGGAAUAUUUGACAAUCCAGAUGUUGCCCUGUCUGCAGUGGUUAAAUGCCAGAGAGAAUUAAAAUCAAGGAACUUCAUGCAAAAAGGUCUUUGCACCUGUCCUGUUAGAGGAGAUCACUCCUCUGUGCAAUAACAGUCCAUCAUGUUCCAAGCCAACAGUUUCCAAACCAUCUAGUGGUGUUAGAAAUAGUGUACUGACAUAGUUACACAUCUUUUGCACUGAUAAACCAAUUCAGUCAUUAAUAUGGCCCAUGUUGCUGUUUUGAUGUAAUGAAAUGUAGAAAAAGAAAAAAAAUAAGCAAAAUGUAUCACGGUUAUUUCAAGUAAAGGUUCAAUAAUGGCAAAACGUGUCAACUUUAAAGAAAAUAAUUUGAUUGCUUUUAGGCUUGUUAUUGGUGACUUUAAGAUCAUUUAGAACAAUGUUUUUAUUGUUGUGACAGUUUUUGUUUUAAAGAAGUAGGCCAAAUGGUAAGAGAUUUGUUCCAGAGGAUUAAUGCAGCAGGCUGUUCUUGUUUUGUUUUGUUUUAAACCAGUUCUUUUAACCAAAAAUAACUUUGCCCAUUCAACUAUCCCUGAUUAUGUAUGAUUUCAUGUUAUGCUAUUUCUUUUUGCAUUUCUUGUUGUUGUGAAGUUGCCAUAUAAGAAUUAGUCAUAAUAAGGCAUUAAGUUUACAUGAGCACAUGUUGUAAACAAGUCUUUGUUUUUAUUUGUUUGUUGUUCAAAGGAUGUAUGAAAUAUUAAAUAACCAAUAUUUUCAUAUUGCUUUAAGUUGACAAUAUGUACUAAAUUUUACAUAAUGUUAGAAGUAAAAUAUUAAUAAGAACUAAGAAAUAAAAUUAAUAAUAAGAUGUGUACAGAUGUUUAAAAAAUCAAACCUUAUCAUUUUGUAGGGCUUCUAAAACAAUUUAAUUUCUCUUGCCACUCUUUUAUCAGUCUGUUAAUGCUAUUGGGUAAAAAAAUAUAUACUCACCGUUGGAAACUUAAAAGAGAUGAUGAAGUAUAAACUAAGCUACUGGUUUACAUUUAUUUUAAUAGUAUUGAUUUUAUCACGUUUGGCAAAGUCAUAUUAUUAUUCAAAUAUAUGUCAGAAUAAUAGCCAACCUUUUUGAGGGUUAUGAAAAUGGGGGUGCAAAUCACACAUUGUCAGAUGAGUUAGUUAUAGCUUAUUGAUGAUGCGUUGGUAUCAUUUUUGUCCACACAAUCACCGUAAGUUCAUAGAUAUUAUGAUAGUUGUCAACUUAUUAUUUUAAGUUAAAUAAACUUCAAUCUAAUUGGAGUGAAAGUUUGCCUUUUACCAAAAUAAUACCCUGUUCCAAACUUGAAGAUGCAAUUUUAAAUGAUCAGUUUAAUUUUAGUACAUGUUUCACAUGUUUGAAGUCUCAUUCAUUCCUGUAUUUACUAGUAUAUUAUUGCUGUCUUUGAAAUACAAUUGUUAUUUUAGGGACAUGAAUUUAUUUGCAUUUUGCCCUUUAAAUUAAAAGAAUUUUAUGACUAAAAACUGAAUUUUCAUUGAAAAAAAACAACAUUGUUUUAUACAAAUUAUAAUGAACACCAUUGCCAUGGCAAUCAUUUUAUAUGUUGUCACAAGAGGGUAACACUUGUAACUUAUCAUUUUUAGUUUAAUAUACUUACAUAUUGUUGGAGUGAAAGAUUACCUUUCACCAAAAUGAUGCCUUGUUUCAAACUUAAAUAUAAAAGGUAAAAUGAUCUAUUUUAUCCUUAGUUUGUGUUUACAAUGUUCGAAGUCUCCCUCAUUAUUUUAUUAACUAGUAUAAUAAUGAGAUGCUUGAUACACUGUUGUUACCUAAGGAAGAUGAACUUAUAAUAAAUAAUUAAUGACAAAAAAUGAUUUUUUGAAGAAAUAAAACACAUUGUAUUUUUUUUAGGAAAACCAUUGCCAUAGCAACCAUAUUUAUAUUGUCACCAGAGGGUAGCAAUUGUAAUGCUUUUUAUAUUAAGGUUAAAAUAGUGUGUCUUUAAAUGUAGCACUAAUUGAUCUACAUGUAAAAUUGUUUAUAUAUUUACUGUAUAAAUAUGUUGAUAAUCAUUAAGAAGUAAACAUUAUCAAGAAACACACUUUUUGUUGUUAUACCUGUUAUACGGAAACUUCAAUUUCUCAGUUAAAAUUUGAAAAAAAAAUGAUUUGUAUAGGUAAAAUAAUAAGCUUUGUGAAUAUGAUAUCCACUUAAUUCCGCCCAGAUUCCUCAAUUUGGGCCCUAAAUCACUUGUUGAAUCACAAAUAUACAUAUGUAUUGUAUACAUUUAAA